CGUCGUUGUCGCUGUUUUUAGCGCCUCAGAAGCCUAAACUUCGUGCGAACAAUAUGCAGAAGCCUGACUUCGAAACUGAAGUGGGUUUUUUUUGUCUCCAGAAGCCCACGGAGUGAAGGUAGUCAUAUGCAUUUCCACGGCUUCUUACGCGAAACAGGCGAGGCCAUCUCCUAAGAGGAGCUCCCAUAUGGCAAGAUGAAAUUUUUCAGGGGCAGAACCGGAAUUGGAGAGCAGUGACAUGACUGACUCUUAAGACCAGCUCUGCUUAAUGAGAGGGCCAAGCCACGAGGAAGGGGCAAGGCAAACGGAGGGACCAGAGUGGAAAGUUCUUAGGCUUUUACUGAAAAUAUGUUGAAACCUGGGUCAUUAUCUUAAGUGCCUGGCCCCAGAAUCCGAUCUGAGACAAAAAUAUGAAUGCAAGCAGUCUAUCUGGCAGGUGAAACGAGAAGGAUGGAAAUCAAUAGAGAGUACCAAUGAGCAAAUUACCCUAAGAACAGUAGGAGCUCAGUCUUCUUGAGAACUCUGGAAGACUGCCUAGAAAUCACCACCAGUGUCCCACUCAAAGCCUAAUGAAGCUGACUUAAGAUAAACUGACGAAACCGCACAAUUGGAAAAUUGCCACUCAACCACAUGAUAGCAGAAAUAGGACAAUUCAGGAAAGAGAAAAGAUGGAAAUAUUAAAAACUGCCAUCAGUAAAGACUGCUGAAAGCUCUGUGAGGAUAUUGUUAUCACCACCAUGUGAGGAAAAACUUCAGGUGAAGUGACCUGUCCACAAUCAUUCGGUUACCUUAGUCAGCAAAGCGACAAGGAGUCAGAGAUAGAUGUUCCUCGUUUAACAACUUACCUGUUUAAUGACUGUUAGGCGUGCUGUUUGGACUGACAACCCACCGCUCAGACUUUCAACCAAUUUUUUAAAUACAGUUCUGUGCAUUUUGUUUAUAGAGCCUCAACAUCCUUUUUUGCACAGUAUACCUUGUUUAUACAGUACUCUAAUUUUUUGCUGAUAGUACCAUGUAGUGCUGUCAUUUUAUGUUCU
ensembl:lncRNA